rnacentral:tRNA from 1 species
GUAGUCGUUGCCGAGUGGUUAGGCGAUGGACUAGAAAUCCAUUGGGCUAUGCCAGCGCAGGUUCGAAUCCUGCCGACUACG